rnacentral:tRNA from 1 species
GCAGUGGUGGCUCAGUGGUAGGUUUCAUGCCUUCCAUGCGGGAGACCCGGGUUCAAUUCCUGGCCAGUGCA